rnacentral:rRNA from 1 species
UCCCAGACUCCUACGGGAGGCAGCAGUAGGGAAUCUUUCACAAUGGGCGAAAGCCUGAUGGAGCAACGCCGCGUGCAGGAUGAAGGCCUUCGGGUUGUAAACUGCUUUUAUAAGCGAGAAAUAUGAUGGUAACUUAUGAAUAAGGAUCGGCUAACUACGUGCCAGCAGCCGCGGUCAUACGUAGGAUCCGAGCAUUAUCCGGAGUGACUGGGUGUAAAGGGAGCGUAGACGGCUGAGCAAGUCUGAAGUGAAAGGCGGGGGCCCAACCCCCGGACUGCUUUGGAAACUGUAUAGCUAGAGUGCAGGAGAGGUAAGUGGAAUUCCUAGUGUAGCGGUGAAAUGCGUAGAUAUUAGGAGGAACACCAGUGGCGAAGGCGGCUUACUGGACUGUAACUGACGUUGAGGCUCGAAAGCGUGGGGAGCAAACAGGAUUAGAUACCCGUGUAC